CCUACGGGAGGCAGCAGUGGGGAAUAUUGCGCAAUGGGCGAAAGCCUGACGCAGCGACGCCGCGUGCGGGAUGAAGGUCUUCGGAUCGUAAACCUCUGUCAGCAGGGAAGAACGGUCACUGUGCUAAUCAGCAGUGAAUUGACGGUACCUGCAAAGGAAGCACCGGCUAACUCCGUGCCAGCAGCCGCGGUAAUACGGAGGGUGCGAGCGUUAAUCGGAAUUACUGGGCGUAAAGCGCGCGUAGGCGGUAUGUCAAGUCAAGGGUGAAAUCCCCGCGCUCAACGUGGGAACUGCCUUUGAAACUGGCAAGCUUGAGUGUGUGGGAGGAUAGUGGAAUUCCAGGUGUAGGAGUGAAAUCCGUAGAUAUGUGGAGGAACAUCAGUUGCGAAGGCGACUAUCUGGAACAUAACUGACGCUGAGGAGCGAAAGCGUGGGUAGCAAACAGGAUUAGAUACCCUUGUAGUC
rnacentral:rRNA from 1 species